UACGGAGGGUGCAAGCGUUAUCCGGAUUUACUGGGUUUAAAGGGUGUGUAGGCGGACUAUUAAGUCAGUGGUGAAAUCCCGAGGCUCAACCUCGGAACUGCCUUUGAUACUAUUAGUCUUGAAUGUUGUUGAGGUGGGCGGAACGGGUCAUGUAGCGGUGAAAUGCAUAGAUAUGACCCGGAACACCGAUUGCGAAGGCAGCCCGCUAAGCA
rnacentral:rRNA from 1 species